AACAAAUGAGAAUUAUGGUUUUGACUCAAACAACAAAACGGAUGUGUGAGAUAAAGCUGUUUUCACACAUACAGGUAAUUCACUUCUCGUUCCUCACCUAAAGGUUUAAUUCAUUUUAACUUUAGUCACGUUACCUUUACCCUAUUUUCACUUGUUGCUGAGUAACGUACAUCAACAUCCCAAGGUCUCGUGAAU